rnacentral:rRNA from 1 species
GACGAACGCUGGCGGCGUGCUUAACACAUGCAAGUCGAACGGAAAGGCCCUGCUUUUGUGGGGUGCUCGAGUGGCGAACGGGUGAGUAACACGUGAGUAACCUGCCCUUGACUUUGGGAUAACUUCAGGAAACUGGGGCUAAUACCGGAAAGGAGCUCCUGCUGCAUGGUGGGGGUUGGAAAGUUUCGGCGGUUGGGGAUGGACUCGCGGCUUAUCAGCCUGUUGGUGGGGUAGUGGCUUACCAAGGCUUUGACGGGUAGCCGGCCUGAGAGGGUGACCGGCCACAUUGGGACUGAGAUACGGCCCAGACUCCUACGGGAGGCAGCAGUGGGGAAUAUUGCACAAUGGGCGGAAGCCUGAUGCAGCAACGCCGCGUGCGGGAUGACGGCCUUCGGGUUGUAAACCGCUUUCGCCUGUGACGAAGCGUGAGUGACGGUAAUGGGUAAAGAAGCACCGGCUAACUACGUG